AUUUAGCCUGCUAGUCGUACGGGUUAGACCCGUGGCAGAUAGCUCAGUACCCCUUGGCGCAUCUACCCUGUAGCCCCUGACAUCCUCGGCAUUUUGAGGCCAAUCGGGGAUACGAGUCUCACGCUGGAACCGCCGAGACUCCCAAACGGUCCGCCGCUACAGGAUGAGGCUGCGGCCGAUUAGGUUGACGGUGGGGUAACGGCCCACCGUGCCGAUAAUCGGUACGGGUUGUGAGAGCAAGAGCCCGGAGACGGAAUCUGAGACAAGAUUCCGGGCCCUACGGGGCGCAGCAGGCGCGAAACUCUUUACACUUGCACGCCACGUUGCGAAUAAGGGGGACUCCGAAGUUGCGAGGGUCAUAUCGUUCCUUCUCUUUUGUCGACCGGUAAGGUGGU
rnacentral:rRNA from 1 species